rnacentral:misc_RNA from 1 species
GAUGAAGAACGUAGCGAAAUGCGAAAAGUAAUGUGAAUUGCAGAAUUCAGUGAACCAUCGAAUCUUUGAACGCACAUUGCGCCCGCUGGAACUCCGGCGGGCACGCCUGUCCGAGCGUCAUUUCAACCCUCAGGCCCCCCUUCGCGGGCGGGCCUGGUGUUGGGGCCCGGCCGCUACCCUGCGGCCGUCCCCUAAAUUCAGUGGCGGCCUCGCCGUGAUCCCUUGCGUAGUAAUGCACCUCGCACCGGAGAGCGCCGUGGCCACGCCGUAAAACCCCCAAUUUUCAAUGGUUGACCUCGGAUCAGGUGGGAAUACCCGCUGAACUUAAGCAUAUCAAUAAGCGGGA